rnacentral:rRNA from 1 species
UGUAUCCUGCGGGAGGCAGCAGUAGGGAAUCUUCCACAAUGGACGAAAGUCUGAUGGAGCAACGCCGCGUGAGUGAAGAAGGGUUUCGGCUCGUAAAACUCUGUUGGUAGUGAAGAAAGAUAGAGGUAGUAACUGGCCUUUAUUUGACGGUAAUUACUUAGAAAGUCACGGCUAACUACGUGCCAGCAGCCGCGGUAAUACGUAGGUGGCAAGCGUUGUCCGGAUUUAUUGG